rnacentral:rRNA from 1 species
CAAUAGCGUAUAUUAAAGUUGUUGCGGUUAAAAAGCUCGUAGUUGGAUUUCAGGCAAGGUUGACCUGCUUCCUUUUUGGGGGUACUGGGUCAGCCGAGGCAACACUUGGUGUACAAUAGGAUACUUAGCUGUAUCGUUUGGAUUCCAGGGCAUUUACUUUGAGGAAAUUAGAGUGUUUCAAGCAGGCCUUUGCCUUGAAUACAUUAGCAUGGAAUAAUAAUGUAGGACUUCUGUCCUAUUUCGUUGGUUCUUUGGACUGAAGUAAUAUUUAAUAGGGAUAGUCGGGGGCAUUCGUACUUAACUGUCAGAGGUGGAAUUCUUGGAUUUGUUAAAGACGGACUACUGCGAAAGCAUUUGCCAAGGAUGUUUUCUUUGA